rnacentral:tRNA from 1 species
GCGCAAGUGGUUUAGUGGUAAAAUCCAACGUUGCCAUCGUUGGGCCCCCGGUUCGAUUCCGGGCUUGCGUCA